UGUCAGUCUGACAGCUGAUUGGCUGCUCGGAGAUGCAUAUAAUUACCAGCAACUGGCGCUGGGUAGGCAAAGCCGGGAGAAACUGCUGAGACGAGGGGGCUUUGAAGCUACGAUGCUGACGUUCCAAGAAGACUGCUGAGAAGUGUCGAAUUAGGAGAGUGCUGGGUUUCCCGGCCCAGAGGGAUCUGCACUGGGAAUCUCGGAAAAGAGACCCAAGUCCACAGUCUGCCCGCAUUGGAUGGACCUUCGCUUUCCGGAGCAUUUUCUGGCAUCAGUAUUCCAAGGAACACACUUUGGGAACCCAGUUAAUGAAAGGCCCUCAGAACCAGAAGGUCUCUCUGGUUCUUGUGUCAGUAACCUCAUUAGUAAUUAGUUACCUGCAUAACAAAUCACCCCAAAUGUAGUAGCUUCAAACAAUAAGCAUUUAUUAUCUCACAGUUUCUCUGGGAAAGGAACUCAGAAGUGGCAUAACUGGCUGGUUCUAGCUUGCGGUCUCUUUUGAGGUAGCCGUCAAGCUGUCAGCUGGGGCUAUAGCCAUCACAUGGCCUGACUCAGCUGGAGGAUAGACUUCUAAGAAGGCGCACUCACCUGGUUGGCAAGGCGGUGCUGGCUGUUGGCAGGAGGCCUCGCUUCCUUGCCAUAGGGGCUUCUCUGUAGGGCUGCCUGAGUUUCUUCACAACAUGGUGGCUGGCUUCCCCCAGAGGGAGUGAUGCAAGAAAAUAAGACUGAAGCUGUAGUGUCUUUUAUGACCGAGCCUUAGGCAGCACAUGUGGUCGUUUUCUCCGUGUCCUAUUGGUCAUACAAGGCAGGCCUAUUCUUUGUGGGAAAGGCCUACAGAGACCUGAAGACCCGGAGGUAGGAAUUGUUUGCAGACUGUCUUGUGGGCCGACUACGACGGUAACCAUCACUUCAGUACAAGAAGGACAGGUAACUUGGCUCAUUCACACCAUUGGUUUCAUAUCAUUUAGUGCCAGUUAAUAACUUUGAGAAGUGAACCUGCUAACCUGUGAUGUGAAGGGCAGAGGAGGAGAUCAGGAAUUUAUCGGCCACGCCAAGCCCUGGUGAACAACAGCGAGAAUAAUAAUCCAGCCCCAUUUGUGAACGCUCACCUGUGCCAAGUGCUGCAUGGGCACCAUGGCACUGUGCCAUCCCUGUCCCCAAGCAGUAGGUUCCACCAAAACUUCCAAGUUAGGCCAACAACAUGCAUAAAAUGAGAUUUUUGGGGAUGUGAUGACCACUACAGCAACACAGGCUGCUCUGCGUUCUGGAAAUUCAGAUAAAACCGGUGACUCGCGUGAACCCAGGUGGAGAAGAUUGGAGUGGAGAGUAAACAAGAUGGAUAAAUGCCGAAGAUAUACAAAUAAUAAACAGGUGAGAUCAAAUAUUUAUCUUGUGUCCAUUAACAAGACGAGGCAUCAGGGUGAGCCAGGGGAAUCUUUGGGUUCCUGGAGCCCCAUCGCUGUGAGAACCGGUCACAUCUCCAGGCUGGGAGGCGGUGAGGCCUCCAUAGUGAGAGUGUCCCCCUGGGUGCCCGAGGCACCUGCAUCCAGGCCUACCCAUGUCUGCCAUUAGCUGUGUGAUUCAGGCAAGUGACGUCACGGUCCUCAGUUUCCCGUCUGUAAAAUGGGGUGAUCGUGGCAAACUCUUCUGGUUGUGAGGAGGAUUGGGAGAGACAAUCCCUGCCUGAGGGCUCUGGAAUGCUUUACCACGGCAAAGCUGAUGGCAGGUCACCGAGGUGGUGGCACCCAGGUCCAAAGAAUGCUUAUAGAAACACCAUUGCCUGGAAGGAGUCUUGCUCUGUGACUGAGGAUGGAGCCACAGCCACAAUAUAGACAUUAGCAGCUGCUCAGGCCUCCUACGGGGAGGCUGACCUCAGCAGGCUGGAAGGGACUCAGCCCCUCCUUUCUGGGGGCAUGUGCAGGCACAGAGCAUGCCUAGCCCCUUCCUGUCCUGUCCAGCAAGAUUUCAACACAGGGAGCGUCCUGGGCGUGUUUUCCGUUGGGAAGUCCCAACCCACUGAGCAGGACUUGGGGAGCUCUGGCUAAAUUUGCUGUCCUAACAAACAGACCAGGCAUAGAAAAGCUGAGAAAACAGAAGGCAGGUGCUGGUGCCUGAUCCGACAGCCUGGGCCUGGGCUGACAGAAAUGGUCUUUGGGUCGGGCUGGCCUAGGAGCACCUGCCUACAUCCCUCAGGGCUGUGUGACUCUGGGCAAGUGCCUCCACCUCCCUGGGCCUCAGUUUCCACAGCCCCGGGCUGGGCUUCUUGCUGGCCCUCUGUCUGUUCUGAGGAGCCUGGGGCUGGCCAGGUGGACACAGAACCCACAGAGUGGGAGUGGGGCGGAUCUAACACACCCCUUCCUCUCCAAUCUGGGCAGCUACAUUUCAUCUCUUUGGUAUGUUGGCGUUCUGAGUAAUACUUCAUUAAGAAAACUAGAAGAAGAAGGAAAAGGAGGAGGAGGAGAAGAAAAGGAAACGUAUCCAUAGCAAGAACCAUACUGUCUAAAAGUUUCCCACCAACUUACUAUGUCCCCUGGCUCAUUCCUUCAAGCUCUAAGGGAGCAGAGGUAUUGACUCCCUCCCCCAGCUGGGUUUAGUGACUGCCCAUUUCCAAAUGGUUCUUGGCUUUCUGGACUUGAAUCUCUAUUUCUUUGGGCCUCUGCCUCCUGAAGUGACCUGGGGCUAUGAGAGAUGGGGAAAGGCCGGGGGCUUUGGUUGGGGAGGCCAUAACCUUGGCACGCUACCUUCCUCUCUGGACACGUGCUAUGGGCAUCGGGGAAGCAUGCCUCUUGGGCCCCCUCCCUCCCCGUGCCAGAGGCAUAUGCACAGGGGCCGGUCCAGUGUUGCCACCCCCAGUUCCAGUGGAAACCUGGACCAGCCGCUGCCGCCUCUGGGUCCCAGUUUCACCUGUGCAGCGAGGAGGCUGUGGGCCUGGAUGAUUGCUCAGCUCCUCCCAACUUCAACACUCUAAGUGCUGCAUUUAUUGAGCUCCAGCUGUCUGUAGAGUGGUGUCUAGGGUGUGGGAGGGGAGGGCCCCAUUCUGGGAGGAGGGACCAACCUGAGCCUGCUGCCUCCAGCUGGCCUGGGGAGGGCAGGGCUCAGAGUGCCAGGCACCCCCCACCCCAGCAGAACCCGGUGCCAGGUCCAGGUGCCAGGCUGCCAUUCGAAAUGUCUCCUGUUGGUGGCACUUUGGCGUGGUUCAGGUGUUCUGGUCUUAAAAUAUAUUGGUUUGUACGUGAAGACGUGCUGGUUCCCUCUUUCCGUUAAGGUUCUGUUUUUCACUCGAGUAAAUCUCAGUGCCUAGAGCUGGACUUGAUCAUGUCAUUCCCCAGGUAAAAUCCUCCCAUGGCUCCUCACUGCCCUUAGAAGAUAGUCCAAGCCCAGGAGUGGCCCCACGGCCUUCUGGGGCCUGGCACAGACCAAGCUCUCCCACCUGGGGGCUCUCCACCCCUCACCCCCUCUCCUCCAGACACACAGGUUGGAAUGUUCCAAUCUCUCUCUUCUGUCGAAAACCUCACGCUUGCUGCAUCCUCCCCCUGGAACACUCUCCCUCUUUUCUUCUCAUGGCUCACUAAAUGUCACUUUCUCCAGGAAGCCCUCCCUGCCUAAUUGAGACACUUUUGUUCACCCUCUGGCUCCCCCUGUACUUCUGCUUUGUAGCACCCCUCAUUGUAAUGAUCUGAAAAAACGCCUGUUUAUCUGACUCCCCCCACCACUCACCCCAGCAUGGGCCCCGUGAGAACCUCCUGGUUGGAUUUUCAUGCCUGGUGCCAGGCACAGUACCCAGCCCCACGGGGGAGCUCUGGAAAUGUCUGCUGAGUGAAUCUGUGGCGAGAGACUGUGUGAGCAUGACAUACAGCCUGCUGAUCCCGGUUGGUAACCUGGGGCCAGCCGGGGCUGCCAGGGAUUCACCCGACCCUGGCACUCAGAGCCUGGGAACCCUGGCACCGCCGCCCAGCCCCAUCCUCCUGCCUGAAGGCUCUGCCUGGAAGGAGGGAAGGGGUUAAGUGUUUCUGGCGGCCUCGUGCUGUGUCUGCGGCAGUUCCCCCUUCCGGGGCUGCAGCAACCGAGGUUGGCCAGGAAUGUUUGCAAUGCAGAGCUAGGAGGGAGGGCGGGCUGGUGGAAGUGGGGGCCUGUGGAGGCUGGCCGGGCCAGGCUCCCCAGUUGAGCAAUCGCCCAGGCCCAGCCGGUUCCUGUAACUCCUGCCCCUCCCGCCUUUUCCCGCCCUGCUGGCUUCCUCCACCCGCCUGCCUGCCGGGCAGUGGGGGCGGCCGGUACUCUGGGGCUUGCAGAGGAAGGUAGAAGCCAGGGGUAAAAGGGAGGGGCUUCCAAUGAAAGGCAGAGAAGGAGUGCAGUCAGCUCAGCCACCUCGGCCCAGAGAGGGUGGGGCCUUUGCCCAAGGUCACACAGCAAGGCACCACCGAACUGGGCCGCACCCUGGAUUUAGCCUUUUUUGUACCCAUGGCACCAGAAUGCAAGUCUCAGAGCGGGGAGGUCAUGUUGCUACUCAGGUGGGAAGCUCUGAAUCUCAGGGGACCUUCUUCCUCCAGCCCUGGCCUGGCUCUUCACUCAAGCCCUGGGGUCUCAGAGAGGAUGGCGACUCUCAUCGGGCUGGGUGCAGCCCACCAUGACCUCCCAGCACUGUCCACUGCCCAGCCUGUCUUGGGGAUACUGGUCACCUCCAUUCCUUGCUUCCAGGAGCAUGGAGUCAAUGGAUAAAGGCCAAACUUGACUAGUUUUCCAAAGCCCCAUUUCCUUCUUUCUUCCAGUUCCCCUCAAGGAAGGACCUUCAUGGGUGUCAAAUAUUCAUUUGAACUCAGGCACAAAGGGAUUUCUUUCUCCACAAACACAUACUUUUGGGGGAGCAGAGUUCCCUGACACUGCAGAUGAGUUCUCUCUGCUGACACAACUUACAAGCGUCCUCUGGACAAGAGGCUUCUGCAGUCAUUCAGACCCGAUUUGAAUCCCAGCUCCACCAACCUUUCAAGCUUCGUGGCGUGGCACCUCUUUCUGGGCUUCAAUUUCCUCAUCUAGAAAGUAGAAGUGAGAGAGGGGCCAGGUGAAGCGGGCAGCGCCAGUCUGGCUCUGCCAAGACUCUGGGUCACUUGCCUUUCCUGGUACCACAGACUUUCGGUCCGUUUGGGGCUUGUCAGAGUGUUCCCCCAUCUAGGCUCUGGGUUUUGCCUGAGCUGCCAGGAGAUGACGGGCUCAGCAGCCCUCAGAGGUGCCAGCUUGGCCACAUCUGGCUGGAGUCAGCAGUGGAGUUCCUGGGACCCCACAUCUCUGGAGGGUGGGGUAUAUGAUCCGUGUGAGCUAGACGGUCCUGUGAGAAUCAACAUCCCAUUUACAGGUAAGGAGGUUCAUGGGAGGGAUGGCUUGCCCCAAGAGAGGGAUUUUAAUCUACACUUUGCUCUGCCCCUCUUUAUGGAGUCCUUACUGCAUGCCAGGCAGUGACUGACCUAUUUUAAUCCAACACGCCUAAGAGGGAGAUAUCCAUUUUUUUAGGAAACAGAGAGGUUGAUUCACUUGCCAAAGGUCACACAGCUUGUACGAAAUAGAGCCAGACUUUGAACUCAGGCCACCUGCCUCCAGAGCCUGUGCUCUUGGCCAGUUUCCUCCACACCUGGCUUGGGAUCCAGGCUCUGUAUAGAAGGGCUGGGCCACCUUGGGUUAAUAGCUUCAGCCCCAGAGCCACCAAGUGAGGGGGAAAUCUCCAGCACCCACUGCGGGUGGGGCUGGGGGGGGCACUGUGCUAAGUUAUCACUAUCACCGGUUGGGGCGAGCUCAGAGGGGCCCAGCCUCUCACUCUAGGGCACACAGCCCCCUGAGCCAGGACUCACGCCCAGGGUGAUGAUGGCUCCCCUUCCUCUGGCUCCCUGUCGGUGGCUCCACCGAGGCCAUGGCUGGGAAGGACCCCCACAGCUGGCUGGGCUCCGGGACAGAUGGACAGAUGAUGGCUGCCUGCGCCCAGGGCCUGCGGGCUGUGCUGCUUCGCCACCUCCUCCUGAGCAGGUUUCCUUUAAGAAACCAGAAGAUUGAUUUCCUGGCCGGCUCUGCGCCGAGGAGCCCGUCCAAAUGGUGGGGUGUAUGAGUCACCAGGGUGGGCCUGAAAAUCGCCAUUAGUUCCGCCCCUCCAAGGCCCCCCACCCUUCAUCCCCCAGUCUUGCCUGGGCCUCCCGUGCUCCUGCUUCCAGGUUGAAGCAGCUGGUCCAGCUCUGGGAGCAGAUCCUGCAGGGCGUGGAACCAACCGAGAGUUCCCCCACCUCCAAAGAGAGUUCCAUCCACUCCACACCUCUCACCUUCCAGACUGCAGGAGGCUGAGACCCAGCGGAAGACAGUGCUGCCCUGAGCCAGUCCGUCCCUGCCUCC